rnacentral:rRNA from 1 species
GAUGAACGCUGGCGGCGUGCCUAGUACAUGCAAGUCGAGCGAACAGACGAGGAGCUUGCUCCUCUGACGUUAGCGGCGGACGGGUGAGUAACACGUGGAUAACCUACCUAUAAGACUGGGAUAACUUCGGGAAACCGGAGCUAAUACCGGAUAAUAUAUUGAACCGCAUGGUUCAAUAGUGAAAGACGGUUUUGCUGUCACUUAUAGAUGGAUCCGCGCCGCAUUAGCUAGUUGGUAAGGUAACGGCUUACCAAGGCGACGAUGCGUAGCCGACCUGAGAGGGUGAUCGGCCACACUGGAACUGAGACACGGUCCAGACUCCUACGGGAGGCAGCAGUAGGGAAUCUUCCGCAAUGGGCGAAAGCCUGACGGAGCAACGCCGCGUGAGUGACGAAGGUCUUCGGAUCGUAAAACUCUGUUAUUAGGGAAGAACAAAUGUGUAAGUAACUAUGCACGUCUUGACGGUACCUAAUCAGAAAGCCACGGCUAACUACGUG